rnacentral:rRNA from 1 species
GACGAACGCUGGCGGCGUGCUUAACACAUGCAAGUCGAACGGAAAGGCCCUGCUUUUGUGGGGUGCUCGAGUGGCGAACGGGUGAGUAACACGUGAGUAUCCUGCCCUUGACUUUGGGAUAACUUCAGGAAACUGGGGCUAAUACCGGAUAGGAGCUCCUGCUGCAUGGUGGGGGUUGGAAAGUUUCGGCGGUUGGGGAUGGACUCGCGGCUUAUCAGCUUGUUGGUGGGGUAGUGGCUUACCAAGGCUUUGACUGGUAGCCGGCAUGAGAGGGUGACCGGCCACAUUGGGACUGAGAUACGGCCCAGACUCCUACGGGAGGCAGCAGGGGGGAAUAUUGCACAAUGGGCGGAAGCCUGAUGCAGCAACGCCGCGUGCGGGAUGACGGCCUUCGGGUUGUAAACCGCUUUCGCCUGUGACGAAGCGUGAGUGACGGUAAUGGGUAAAGAAGCACCGGCUAACUACGUG